UUUCAACUCACUCAAUUAUUGCCUCUCUCCAUUCAAUCUCAACCAUGUCUUCCACACUCUCUCAGGGUAAGCUGAAAACAUCUUUCUUCUUCAAGUUUGGAUUGUUCAUUUUGUUGCAGACUAGUUAUGCAAGCUCGUUUAAGAAGGUGGAAGCUUCGGCGUUGCCUUUCAACAUCUUGGACACGAACAAUAAUGGACCGCAGAAGCUCACAAAAGGAGUAGUUGAUGUAGGGCAUGGUGGCAAGGUUCCUGUGACUCCUUUAGUGCUCGAACACGCCUUGAGGCCUCCCACGAAUCUAUACACGGCUGAUGCACCUCAUACAGCCACCGUUCUCUCUGUCGAGAAGAUUACCGGUGAAAACGCUUCUACAGAGAUUUACCACAUCGUGUUUGAUCAUGGUCGCUUUCUUCCUCACUGGGAGGGACAAGUUUUCGGUGUAAUGCCCGCGCCCAAAAAUCCUUUCGAUAUUGGAAAUUCGUCAAACAUUAGAUACUUUUCCGCAGCUUCUUCAAGAUAUGGAGAUACGUUUAAUGGUGUAUAUGUCUGGUGAAGAAGAUACACAAGAUCAAUUACAAAAAAUCAAAGAUUAUCUCGAGGCAUCGUUCGUGUCACACAAUACCAUAACUAUCACUGAUAAUCCACUCUUUCAGCAUCAUUAUCAACGUGUAGAGUCUGUUAAAGAGCCAUUAUUAUCUGACAACAAAUCUAAUUCUGACGAUUCAGUUUGAUCUUAUAGAACAAUGGCCCAGCAAAGGACGUUGAAUGAGUUGGCAGUGCCAGAUCUUGACCAACAACUGCUUUGCAUUCAAUAUCCACCUUUAAAUGUCAACUUUGAGUUGAAGUCGGGCCUCAUUCACUUAUUUACCUCUUUCCAUGGGUUGGCCGGUGAGGACCCGAAUAAACAUUUGAAGGAGUUUCAUAUUGUCUGUUCUAGUAUGAAACCUGUUGCAGUGACUGAAGAACAUAUUAAGCUACGAGCGUUUCCUUUCUCCCUGAAGGAUGAAGCUAAAAAGUGGAUGUACUAUUUUCCACCCGGUACUUUUGAAACCUGGAAUGGUACGAAGACUAUGUUCUUGGAAUGAUAUUUUCCAGCAUCUAAAGUAGGAAUCAUCAGGAAAGAGAUCUGAGGUAAUAUACAGCGGAGUCAUUGUAUGAAUAUUGGGAGAGGUUUAAGCGAUUAUGUGCUAGGUGCCCUCAUCAUCAGAUAAAUGAACAACUCCUAAUCCAGUACUUUUAUGAAUAGGAGUAUGAUUGAUGCAGCUAGUGAGGGUGCACUAGUUGAUAAGACUCCUGCUGCAGCCAGGAGCUUGAUUUUUAAUAUGGCUGCCAACUCACAACAGUUUGGCAUUUUCCAAGAUCCUAAUCCACCACCAAAGAUAGUUAAUGAGCUGAGUAAUUCCAACGAAAACCAUCUUGGUCAUCAACUGGCUCAAUUAAUAUUAGUGGUACAACAACUUGCUUUAGGCCAACAGGUGUGUCCAUGUGGAAUAUGUCAAGUUGUGGAGCAUGUUACUGAUACUUGAUCUACUCUAUUUGAGGGAGAGACCGAGGGUGUUAAUGCUCAAAAAGUCUUUAGACGAGACGACAAGCACUUCAACACAGCAAAGACUUCGAUAAAUCAUCGACUCAAUUGCAGAGGUAAGGUGAUGCUUUGUUGCCCGACGCUCUGGUUUAGUCUCUCCAAAGCUCCCGAGCCUACCACGAACUCAAGCCGAUACCGUGUGACGAGAAGUUCUCCAUCAAACCGUGUGGCUGCAUGCACAAUGGUGCUCAUCGAAGUGGAAAGGCCAAGGGGUGGUGGGUGGUGGCUCUCGUCGAACGGAAGCCAGAGUCGUGGUGACUGUGGAGUUGUCCUGUUGGUGGCUUUGUCGUUGGAGGAGAAAACCGAGCCUCUCAGUGGUGCUACGAAAUUCACGUCGAAGAAGAGGGAGACUCAACCUGUAAAUAAUUAACAUAUAUACUAUUAGUUACAUAACUUAAAAUAAAUAACAAACAAAAUCUGUCGAGCUACUACCGUCGGUGCCAUGCAGAAUUGACUCUACCUCCACGUUGCUCACGUUCUCUCCGCCACUUAUAGAGCAUCGCCAAGAGGCCUCAUAUCCCCCAUCUCAUCUCCUCUCACAUUCAAAACUUAGAAAAGGUCUCCCUCCUUUAUUAUAUUUAUAUUCAUAUAUACAUAAUCUACUUAUUUAGUUUAUAAUUUUGAUUUGAUCGUUGA